rnacentral:rRNA from 1 species
GACGAACGCUGGCGGCGUGCCUAACACAUGCAAGUCGAACGGAAAGGCCCUGCUUUUGUGGGGUGCUCGAGUGGCGAACGGGUGAGUAACACGUGAGUAACCUGCCCUUGACUUUGGGAUAACUUCAGGAAACUGGGGCUACUACCGGAUAGGAGCUCCUGCUGCAUGGUGGGGGUUGGAAAGUUUCGGCGGUAGGGGAUGGACUCGCGGCUUAUCAGCUUGUUGGUGGGGUAGUGGCUUACCAAGGCUUUGACGGGUAGCCGGCCUGAGAGGGUGACCGGCCACAAUAGGACUGAGAGACGGCGCAGUCUCCAACGGGAGGCAGCAGUCGGGAAUAUGGCACAAUGGGCGGAAGCCUGAUACGACAACGCCCCGUGCGGGAAGACGGCCUACGAGUUGUAAACCGCUUUCGCCUGUGACGAAGCGUGAGUGACGGUAAUGGGUAAAGAAGCACCGGCUAACUACGUG